CUACCCUGUUAAGAAAGGUAAUAGAAAUGAAGAAAAAUAAAAUAUGAAUCCAAACACAAAGUUUCCUUACAUUUUCAUGACUUUAACAUACUAAAAUCGCUGCGAGAAUGUUAAAGAUCAUUGAAUGUGAAUACUACAUAGAAAAAUACACAAUAUAUUAAUCACAGAAAAUAGUCCAGACUAUUAAUGAUAAUUGCUAUAAUUUACAGAAAUUAUAUUAUUAAUUGCAUCUAUCCUAAAUGAUAAUUGCUAGUUAUAAUUCCAGUGAUAAAACUACCUAAAAGGAAUUCUAACCAUAUUUUCUUUAUCCAUGUUUAUAUACAAAUGGGAUAACUAUGAACUUCUCUAUUUCCAAUUAUACAUACAUAUUCUGGCAGAAAAAUUAAAGAAUGGCAUGCAGAAAAGUUAAUAUAGCAGUCCUGAAUCUGUUAUCUUCAGAAAGGUCUACUUAGUUAUUUUGGUCCUUGACUGGUAUUUGAGAAUUUGGCUUUUGAAAUUCUUGACUUCAUUCUCCAAAAGGUUAGAAUAUCUCACUAUGGUUAGACUCUACAAACUAUACAAUUUAUGAUGAAAAGAUAUCAUCUGGUAGUCUGAAAUUUUAUUAUAAAUUUUAUAGAUUUCCAGACAAAGUGUGGCUAGCACCCACUUCACAAACUCUAGGACAAGGUGGUUUAGUCACUGAGUGUCUAAUGGGCAUUUCAUGGGCAAAAACAUGACACACACAGAUGCUCUUUGGCUUGCAAGGGAGUUAUUUCCCAAUAAAUGCAUAGUCAAUUGAAAGUAUGGUAAGUUGAAAAAAGUGCAGUCAGUACCCCUAAACUACUGACUGUCAGUGCUGAGGUAUUAAUUAAUAAAGUGCUAGGUGAUGUGUCGAUUGUUUACCGUGUCACAUGGCAAUGGUGUGUUUUUCGUUGGCAGAGAAAGGAGCACACUUGGUGUGAUUGCUCACAGGAACAUCAGAAACCUCCACAUGGAUCUCUCCUGUGUUGCUUUUCCUUGCUGAUCCUGUUGUAUAUACCUUUGGUGUAAAAGCUCAGCUCUAAGUACAAAUACAGUAUAUGUCGCAUCCCACGCAUCCUUCUAGAUGUGACCUGCAUUUUUUUUUACCAGUUCUGACUGCAGUAAAGGAGCGAAGAUGAACAGGGUUGUUAAGUGUAGGGAGAAAUAAGUUACAGGAGUGUGCUGGUCCAUUUGUGCUGUUUCAACAAAACCCUGGAAACAUGUAACUUACAAAUAAAUUUAUUUCUCACAGCCUAUGGUUGAGAAGGCCAAGAUCAGCACCAGUAGGCCUGAUAUCUGGUGAAGGCCCUGUCUCUGCUUCUAAAAUGGCAACUUGCAGGCUGUGUCCUUACAGGGAAUUUCCACCACAGGUGGAAGGGCUAAAAUUGUGGAUGCUGUGUGCAACCCUCUUUAUAACAGCCUAAAGCCUGUCUAAAGGGAGGAGAAACCCUAAUUGCUGAAUCACUUCCUAAACGCUCCACCUCUUAAUAUAUUGCUUUGCAGAUUAGAUUGCAGCAUGACUUUUGGAAGGGGUAUAAUAAACAUUUCAACCAUGAUCAUUUCAGUGACUGAGAUUAUCCUGGCAUGAGAUUUUCUAUGGAAAGUUUUGAAAGUUUGCUGCCUGGGCACUCACACUUGCUUUCUGCAAAUGAUCAGUGUUUAGGGUAGUUCGAGGUGAAUGACAGAGAAUGUGGAGUCCAUUAACUAGGUAUCCAGUGCCAGACUGCACUGGAUAAAGGUGAGCUCAGAUAGAUGCAGUCCUUCCCCUUAGGAAGUGUGGGCCAGGUGAGGACAAAGAUAAUAAUCAGAUAAUAUAUUCAAGUAUAUGAUUGUCAAUUAUGUAAGGGUUCUGGGAGAAAAUGCAGUGUAUAAGGGGAUUUGGGAAACCCGAUCUAGCAUAAGCGUGUGUGUCAGGAAGAGAUAUUGGAGAUGACAUGCAAGAAUGGUUAAGGUCCAAACACGUAAAGUGAAUAGACAUCUGGGAGAUUGGCCACCAUGCAGAGGACAACUUUUGCAAAAAUUAGAGGUGGGAAGGAGCUUGGAGGCAGGUGGUCAAGGAGCCAGGGAACAGAAGAAGAAAAAUAGGGAGCAUAGUAAAACUAAAGAGCAGGAUAGCUAUCCUAUACCCAGAAGUAGGGGGUAUCUAGCUUCUAGUCUUUUUUUUUUUUGGUACCAGGAGUGGACCUCAUGAACUCACCCUUGCCAGGAAGGCACUAUGCUGCUGAACUACAACCCAUGCUCUAGUCUUUAAUCCAUGAGUGAGGGAGGCCUCCUGGUUAUCAAUAGGGAGAGGCUGUUGUGGGAUACAGAGGAGAUGAGUUUAGCUCACGUGACACACUGCAUCCUAAAGGCAAGUUGAAAUGAUGUUGGAUAUCAAUCAUCUAGAGAAAAUCUGUGCCUCUACUUUUCCUAUGGACACACUCUUAGAAUUGGCUGUGUCCUGAUAAAUGUUUAAAAUAUCCUUAGUACUUCUUUAAACUUUAUAGAUAAUAUAGUCCAUCUGGAUGUAUCAUUGACUUUCCUGCUCCAUACUGUAGUGUCUAAGGUAUACUAACUAAUCUCCAGCCCUUGUUUUCCUUUUAAAGAUAGUUUCUUGCUUAGGCAGUUCUGGUGGACAUUGAUUAUGGCCUUGUGAGAGACCUGAAACCACAGGCACCAAGUUAAACUGUGUCCAGAUUCCUGAGCUAUAGAAACUGUGAGAUAAUUAGUGUUCAUUAUUUUAAGCUGCUGAAAGUAAAUCCAUCAAUCAAAGAGAUAACACCUGAAAAGCGUAUAAUAUGUAUUAUACUAAAGGACGAUGUGUGAUAAGAGCUUCAUCACAAAUACCCACAUUUACAAUGAUUCGAAAUCUGAUCAUUUUACAUAUACAACCAUACUGCUAACCUACUUAAUAAGUUAGAAUUUAAACAUUUUUUUUUCUUGAGUUUGAACAGUCUUUCAUUUCUCACCCCUUGAAGUAGCCAUCUCUGAUACAUGGAUAUUUCUCUUGUUAUCACAUCACAAUUUAAUCUCAUGGAGUCUGUCAUUCCACUAAAGCAUUUUCCCCCUUUCUUUGUUUCAUUUUUCUCUUAUUGAUGAGAAGUGAGUUUAAAUGUUGUUUAUUACUUGUUUCUUAUAUGCAAAGGUGAGAAGACAGAGUUGGUUAUUAUUGGUAGGCCAUCUGUUACAGUUCAUUGUUAGAAUAUGCAUUAUUUUUAGGUUCUAGAUUUACUUAGGUAAUAUAUUUCUCCUUUCUCAUGAGUUCACUUUAUUAUCUCUUGUGCAAUGACACGCACUAUUAAAAAAAGAAACAUUUUAGACUAUUUGAUUAGUAUUGUGGGUAGGAAAAUGUAUUCAUUCAUUGAAUAAACAUAGUAGUAACAGUCUCAGAGAAUUCUGUCCUAAAAGGUGCUGCAGACAGAGAGGCUCUUCUGAAGGCAUCAUAAGGAGCACAAUAUGGAGUUGGGAUGCAUGCUAAGUGGAAAAAUGUUAAGAAGGGUGUUGGGAGCCGUGGCACUGUCAAGUCAUCAGACGCGGUGAUUGCGAGGCCUGUGGGAAAGUACAAAAGCCUGGGCUAGAUUACCCCUCUCAUCGAGCCCGCCUGUGUAGCACCUGUUUCUUAUCACCCCACUAAGUUCCCGCCUCACAGGGUAGUCUGCCUAGCUAUUAAUCCUAUAUAUAGCCAGUGCCUCCACCCCCGAGAGAGAGAGACUGAAGCACAAAAGGAGCCGCGGGGAGCGGACCGGUAGAGGCUUCGGGGCAGACUGAAGCACGGAAGGAGCCGCGGAGAGCGGACCGGUAGAGGCUUCAGGGCAGACUGUAUAAGGAGAGAAUAAAGAAAAGCCUGACCACCGCCAGACCUUGUUGUGUGUCUUUCCUGCCGGCCGGGAGCAACAUCGACAUUUGGAGGCCCGCACGGGGAUUGAUCAACCCCGAGACGCGGCGGUGGACUGCAUUCUCCUACACAGUGCUGCAGCUGCAGGACAGGAAUCGGGACGAGAACCAAUGUGGGUCCCAGAGAGGUUGACGCGACAAGUCCCUCGACUGAAGAUCAGGCCUGUUCCACCAGAGGCCAACCGCAGACCCAACAACAAGAUGAGCCCUAAAAGAACUGCAGGACAAUCCCUUUUUGGGGGCCUGGAACGGCUUGCUCCCCUAUGUGCUACCCUUGUAUACGCAUGGCUCGCUCGCAUGGCCUACGACCGCGUUUAAAAGUGACAGGCUUCCCACAUUCUCCUCCCUAGACAACAACAUGUAGCAGGGUGGGUGAGUCAAUGACGGGUAAGAGCGUGCCUCCCCAGCACGACUCAACCUAAGCCAGGCCCUACCCCGUUCCGCUCGAAAGCCGCUGGAUUGUUAGAUAAAUUUCUCUCCGAGGGGAUUCGUGGAGAGAAAUGAGUGCAUGCCUAUGUGCAACCAGGUUCCGUCCGGUUCAUUCCUGGCCCUAGAAAAAAGGACGAGGGCCUCAGGGCCUUGGUGGACCCUGGGACGGCCGACCAGGGUCUACGCUAAGGGCCUACGGUGGGCCUCAGUUCGGGGCAUAGUCCUCUGCACUCUAUCCAGGACGGGCUGCGAUGCGCGUAGCCAUCAUUUAAAAUAAAAUAGGGGGAGAUGUUGGGAGCCGUGGCACUGUCAAGUCAUCAGACGCGGUGAUUGCGAGGCCUGUGGGAAAGUACAAAAGCCUGGGCUAGAUUACCCCUCUCAUCGAGCCCGCCUGUGUGGCACCUGUUUCUUAUCACCCCACUAAGUUCCCGCCUCACAGGGUAGUCUGCCUAGCUAUUAAUCCUAUAUAUAGCCAGUGCCUCCACCCCCGAGAGAGAGAGAGACUGAAGCACAAAAGGAGCCGCGGGGAGCGGACCGGUAGAGGCUUCGGGGCAGACUGAAGCAUGGAAGGAGCCGUGGAGAGCGGACCGGUAGAGGCUUCGGGGCAGACUGUAUAAGGAGAGAAUAAAGAAAAGCCUGACCACCGCCA